UUAAAUCGAACAUAUUUCAGGAAAUUUUGUUUUUUUUUUUUUGGUGGGAAAAAAGGACAUAUUUUUAGUAAUAAUUUAAAAAUGUUUGAUCAUAUUGAUCUCAAAAUCGCAGAUCGAUAAGUCGGCAAGCCGACGUUUUUUUCGAUUUGAUAUCUCCAAGCUUAUAAUGCUAGAAGAACAUUAGAUAAUAAGAAUUAUGGGAGACCUGAAAAAGGAUAUGAGAAAAAAAGCUAUAAGAAUAUCUCAUUGAAGACUGAGGUAAUGAGCAAUCAUAUGCUCAUGUUCUCUAUUUACUCAAGCCUUUGAAGCUAAAAAUCCAUGUGAUCAGUAAUCUUUCUGUCUAUUAAAUCAAAAGAACUAUGAUUUUGAAGCUUGUACUGCUUUUACACAAAUCUUUAAUCAAACAUAAAUCCAGAAAAUAAUUUUCUAACAUAUCAUCAUAAUGUUUCAGCUAACCAUCUAUUAUUCUCCAUAUAUAAUAAAUAAACAAGCCUGUUUUAUGGUUAUUGGAUAUGUAUUUUGUGAAUUAUGCCCAAAAUCUGACUUAGAUUCAGAUUAAUGUGAUUGCACUGUUAUUGCAAAAUUAAAUACAGCAUUUCCCUUUUCCAUUCAACAAACACUUGAGUGUGGUUAGAUGAAUAAAACUGCAUGCAUAAGAACAAAUUGCAAGGUUAACAUACUAAUAGCAAACUUUGAGAUGGUCCUCUUUAUAGCUUCAUGGGCAUGCAUUAAUGACUAGGGAACAUGAGCUUGCACUGCAACUUGAUGAUCAACAUGUGAUCUUCUUUAUAGGUAGUGUCUAGAAUGAUGAAUUUUCUGAUAGAUCAGUUAUCAUCACCGAGCUUCUUAAAGACUGUUGAUGAGAGACAAGAGCAUAUCGGAGAAGAGAAUCUCAUCAGCAGAUAAUAAUUCAAUCAUGACAGUUUAUCAGGAAUUCAACAGGAAAAGGAGGACAGCAAAAGAGGAUGUUGGAUCUCCUCCACAAGCUGUUAAUAAUCUCUGAAAGAUGAACAAAUCAAUCAAGAAGCUCACAAGAAUACAUGACCACAAAACCACAUCAACUUGAGAUCGAAAUCGCUACACCACAGCUGACUUCUAUAAAGGGAGAGAUCCGAAUGGGAGAAACCGAAGGCAAAUUAAACAUGAUAAAGACACAAAACUUACAGGGAGAAGACAGUACUCUAGUGAUGUCUGGUUAUUACACUACAUAUAAGUAGCUAAAGCUGAAAGGAUCGGACCAAGACGCUUGAUUCCCCGUGGCAAGAAUAGGGGAGAGAGAGAGAGAGAGAGAGAGAGAGAAAGAGAGAGAGAAGCAUCCCACAUAGCUAUCGUCUUAUCUUCUCUUCAUCUCCUCCUCCUGCUCGCUUUAGCUUUUACCUGACCUCCCACUUCUGCUGAAAUGAUGGGGUAGUAAUGAUGACUGACCAAAAGGAGCAGAAGAGACGGGUGAUGGCGGUGGCAGGAGCGCCAUGAUUGAUGCUGAGCUGAAGGGCGAGGAGAGGAAGAGAAACCAAGCUGGUGGUGACUGGUACUACUAGGCUAUCUUCUUCUUCUUCUUCUUCUUCCUUCUCAUGAUCACAUGGAGGACUCAUCCAUAAUAAUUGGAUGUGAGUACAUCAUACUACAUUCCUCUUGAAGAUAAAGGUUGGGAGAGACCGAGAGGUUCAAAGCGACAAGUGAAAGGGAAAGGGAUGGGGAUGACAUGUAAGGCUUUCCGCACAGUGCCGCUUCUCCUCACUGUUGUCUUGGUGACUCGGAGAAGAGGACACGGGUGAGCAAAUGUGUUGCACGAAUCCCAAAGCACCGGUGCGAAGGAGCAAUCACCAGGGUGACUAUAAUUCAUUAUUUGACUUUGACGCGGCCAUUUGCUUUGACUUUGACUACAAUUCACAUCCGCUUUAA
rnacentral:lncRNA from 1 species